GAAAUGUCCAUCUGGGUUCAGUUCCAAGUGAGGAGAAAGACACUGGAAACAUGGAGGCUGCUUGGAAAGCUGGUUUAAUGGAGCAGAACCACUAACCACAUGGUCCUGGUGCAAUUGAACACAUGAAGUGGAGAAAAUUUCCUUUUUCUUCUGACAAAGCAAGUUACAACCAGUUGUUACAAAGGCCAGUAGGCAGAGGAGAUAACAUUUGCCCCACUAUGUUUCGAGUGGUUAAGCAAUUCAACAUAUGAAGUGUUAUCUGUUCACUAAGACAGACCACUGCAUAUGCUGCAAAGGUAUGUGGUCCAACAUUCAUGAAGAGUUAAUACAAGAGUUACCGUAUGUCUCUUUAUUGCAGAAUCUGCACUGCAAAUGCCACAAGAUCCCUUAGGAGGCUGACCACAGAGUAAUGUCUGUUAGCAUAAUAUUGACCAUAAUGUUGAUCUUCAGAGCUAAUCAAAUGUAUUACAUAUUACUAAUAAUAAUGAUCUAACAUAAGAAAUUUAUUACUGUAACCCAACCAAGAAUGCACAGUUGUCUACCAAGAAAGAAGGGGUAAGAAAGAAAAUGAGAAAGAAAGUACAUCAAUAUGCAGAAUAUGAGGAAAAAUACAGUACAAGAAGGAUAAAAUUUGUUCAAGAUGAGAUCAAACAAAAAGGGAGGUGAAAUUGCAUUAUUGUUAAGAAUGACUACAUAGUUCUUUGACCUUUUUCUUUUUUCAAAUCUUUUCUUACCUUUUAACUUUGUACUUUUUUGACAAUCAAUAAAGUUAUAUGUCUUAAAAAACCCUACCUUGA